rnacentral:rRNA from 1 species
UGUCAAGUCGGAUGUGAAAUCCCCGGGCUCAACCUGGGAACUGCAUUCGAAACUGGCAGGCUUGAGUCUUGUAGAGGGGGGUAGAAUUCCAGGUGUAGCGGUGAAAUGCGUAGAGAUCUGGAGGAAUACCGGUGGCGAAGGCGGCCCCCUGGACAAAGACUGACGCUCAGGUGCGAAAGCGUGGGGAGCAAACAGGAUUAGAUACCCUGGUAGUCCACGCCGUAAACGAUGUCUACUUGGAGGUUGUGCCCUUGAGGCGUGGCUUCCGGAGCUAACGCGUUAAGUAGACCGCCUGGGGAGUACGGCCGCAAGGUUAAAACUCAAAUGAAUUGACGGGGGCCCGCACAAGCGGUGGAGCAUGUGGUUUAAUUCGAUGCAACGCGAAGAACCUUACCUGGUCUUGACAUCCACGGAAGUUUUCAGAGA